rnacentral:rRNA from 1 species
AGAGCGAACGCUGGCGGCAGGCUUAACACAUGCAAGUCGAGCGGGCGUAGCAAGUACGUCAGCGGCAGACGGGUGAGUAACGCGUGGGAACGUACCUUUUGGUUCGGAACAACCCAGGGAAACUUGGGCUAAUACCGGAUAAGCCCUUACGGGGAAAGAUUUAUCGCCGAAAGAUCGGCCCGCGUCUGAUUAGCUAGUUGGUGAGGUAAUGGCUCACCAAGGCGACGAUCAGUAGCUGGUCUGAGAGGAUGAUCAGCCACAUUGGGACUGAGACACGGCCCAAACUCCUACGGGAGGCAGCAGUGGGGAAUAUUGGACAAUGGGCGCAAGCCUGAUCCAGCCAUGCCGCGUGAGUGAUGAAGGCCCUAGGGUUGUAAAGCUCUUUUGUGCGGGAAGAUAAUGACGGUACGCAAGAAUAAGCCCGGCUAACUUCGUGCCAGCAGCCGC